ensembl:lncRNA
AUGAUGGAGGAAGAUGAGGAGACGAUGAAGCACAAAGUUCUUGUGGAGAAACCUCUGCACCCACAAGAUGACAUGGUCAGUGUGGGGUUUUCUCCUCAAAUCAUCAUGCGCACAGCAGUGGCCCGAGUGUCCGAUAGAGUUCUCCCAGAGGCCAGGAUUGAGCCUGCUCUGACAAAUGCCACAUGCUGCCCAAAAAGAGUAAUUAAAAACAAACUAAUCAACCCAUUACUCAGGAAGCCCAACCCAUUCUCUCUUUUUUCUUAUUAUACAUGUCAUUCUUUCACACCACACAAUUUUAUAAAAGCUGUAAUUGAUUUGCAUAAAUGCAGAGAGAGAACAGAGAGGGCUGUGAACAGGAAGAGGCCUGCAAUUGUGACUGCUCGAGCAUACAAACCAUGGUUUCAGUGGUGGAGGUGUCAACUAUCAAUGGAUGAUUAUCUUGAUUACAUUUCCAAUCAGGACUCUGAUUAUCUGUCAGUGCUGUUUCACUUGUAUGACAGUGAUGAUGAUGAAGAGGCAGAGAGACACAAGCUGGCUCAGCUGCAGCGAGAUGAGAGGAGCAGGUUUUUUUUUUUUUUUUUUAGUGCAUCCUCCCACAUUUACUCUGAGAAUGAUGCAUGAUGACUUGCACUUUGUUAGUCUCUAUAACUGAUGUCAAAUGUUGAACAUCCAUGAAACAUCCCUUCAGCUUCUUACACUGUGACAGUCAACAAAUGGCUAAACACCAACAUUGUAAUUGUAUAUUAAUAUAUUGUUAUUUUAUUGAUAUUAAGUUAACCUCAUUUUUAUCUGAUCGUCACCUCUUUCAGAAGGCAACAGGAAAGGAUCAGUUCACUUAGGAGACAGAAACAAGAAUUUGUUCCUGGAUUCUGGAGAUGGGAGGAUUGGGAAAGGAACCAGAACUGGAUGGCAUGUUAUAGUUUUCUUUAAAAAAAAAAAAAAGAAAGAAAAUACUGGUAUAUUUAUGAAAAUGCAUAAUUUAGUGUCCAAAACUACGUAAAUGAAUGCAGAAAUAUCUGUUUUUCAGAGAAAAAUCCAGAAGAGGAUAUACAAGAUACAGUGAGUUCAUGUUCCUUUCCUCAUAAUAUAACACAGCACUUCUGUUUUCCACUGAUUACUCCUUCGUCUAUCAUGUCAUGUCACUGUUAUUUUUAGUACAGGUUUCUGUUUAGCAGAAAGAAGUUUGAAACACACAGUCUAGCUCACAGUCACUUUUUUGUAUAAUAGAUACAGAUAGGUAUCUAAUAGACAGGUAGACAGAAAGUGAGAUAGACAGACUGGCAGGUAGAUGGUAGCUAGGUAGACACACAGACAGACUGAUUGAUUGAUGUUCUUCAGUCUGAGGGAGAGGAAGGUGAAGGUUCUGGACUGCUGGAUGGAGAACAGAUGCAGGUCAGGCCUGGAGAGGGUCUAGAACGCCCUGCUUCUGCCAGAAGGACAGUGACUAGACAUGGCCAUCAAAUACAGUUCUCAUGAGUGCAGGCGCCAUCUGCAGGAGGUACAGAUAAUGAUAAUGAGCUCUCCUGCCUUUCCAUCAUGAUCAUCUAGGAUUUAUGUUGUCACGUGGAUGUAUUUGUGCCUUCAGGCAAUUGCUGCAUGGGAGGAGGUUGCUCGCUUGAUCCAGAAGAGAGAGAGCUCUUGCUGUACAAGUUGGAGGACUUUGAGAGGGAGGCAUCUGACCCCAACAGAUUUUUCCAGCGAGGUAGAUCAGAUGCACAGCAUAAUGAAUUCUGACCCUUGAAAUAUGCAUGUACAGAUUUAGAGAUAAUCUUUUGAAUCAAUUACAUUUAUUUUUUCAUACAUUUAUUUAUUUAUUUGUGAAAAUGAGCAUUUUGUUUUAGUGUGUAUAAUACACACACACGGCAUUCUAAAAUAUUAAAAACUAAAAAUAACUAUGUGAAGUAAUCAUUUCCAAAAAUAAUUGCAUAUUAAAUACAUAUUGUACUACACACUGGAUAUAUUAUUAUAUUAUUAGUUUUUAUUAAUAUUUUGAAGGUUUUUAUUUUUAUAUUUUCAGUUUACAUUUUAAUUUUACUUAGUUUUAGUAAUUUUGUUGUGUUUUGUCAUUUUUAUUAUUAUAAACUUUAAUAAAAUGUUGUUGUUUUACA